GUGACAGGCUCGAUCCCUCCUUCUUUUAA
rnacentral:piRNA from 1 species